GACGAACGCUGGCGGCGUGCUUAACACAUGCAAGUCGAACGGAAAGGCCCUGCUUUUGUGGGGUGCUCGAGUGGCGAACGGGUGAGUAACACGUGAGUAACCUGCCCUUGACUUUGGGAUAACUUCAGGAAACUGGGGCUAAUACCGGAUAGGAGCUCCUGCUGCAUGGUGGGGGUUGGAAAGUUUCGGCGGUUGGGGAUGGACUCGCGGCUUAUCAGCUUGUUGGUGGGGUAGUGGCUGACCAAGGCUUUGACGGGUAGCCGGCCUGGGAGGGUGACCGGCCACAUUGGGACUGAGAUACGGCCCAGACUCCUACGGGAGGCAGCAGUGGGGAAUAUUGCACAAUGGGCGGAAGCCUGAUGCAGCAACGCCGCGUGCGGGAUGACGGCCUUCGGGUUGUAAACCGCUUUCGCCUGUGACGAAGCGUGAGUGACGGUAAUGGGUAAAGAAGCACCGGCUAACUACGUG
rnacentral:rRNA from 1 species